AGUCGAUUGAUUAGGGUAAAAUUGUAUUCCUUAGGAACCGUACAUGCACCUUUUGACGUAUACGGUUCAAGUUGGUAACCUGAUGACAGGGGAGCUGGUGAUCGAAGCCCCAGUGAACGGUGGCCAUAACUAUAACAAUCCUAAAGUAGCGAAAUUUCUUGUCGGGUAAGUUCUACCCACAUGAAAGGCGUAACGAUCU
rnacentral:rRNA from 1 species